rnacentral:rRNA from 16 species
CCGAAACCAAGCGAUUUAACCAUGGCCAGGAUGAAGGUGCCGUAACAGGUACUGGAGGUCCGAACCCACUAGUGUUGCAAAACUAGGGGAUGAGCUGUGGAUAGGGGUGAAAGGCUAAACAAACUUGGAAAUAGCUGGUUCUCUCCGAAAACUAUUUAGGUAGUGCCUCAAGUAUUACCUGCGGGGGUAGAGCACUGUUUUGGCUAGGGGGUCAUGGCGACUUACCAAACCAAGGCAAACUCCGAAUACCGAUGAGUACAGCUUGGGAGACAGAGCACCGGGUGCUAACGUCCGGACUCAAGAGGGAAACAACCCAGACC